GCAGGGCGUGGUGGCACAUGCCUGUAAUCUCAGCGGCUCGGGAGGCUGAGGCAGGAGGAUCACAAAUUCAAAGCCAUCUUCAACGAUGGCGAGGUGCUAAGCAACUCAAUGAGAUCCUGUCUCUA
rnacentral:sRNA from 1 species